rnacentral:rRNA from 1 species
UACGUAGGGGGCAAGCGUUGUCCGGAAUCAUUGGGCGUAAAGCGCGUGUAGGCGGCCCGAUAAGUCCGCUGUGAAAGUCCAGGGCUCAACCCUGGAAUGCCGGUGGAUACUGUCGGGCUCGAGUCCGGAAGAGGCGAGUGGAAUUCCUGGUGUAGCGGUGAAAUGCGCAGAUAUCAGGAGGAACACCAAUGGCGAAGGCAGCUCGCUGGGACGGUACUGACGCUGAGACGCGAAAGCGUGGGGAGCGAACGGG